AAUAAAAAUAAUAAAUCAUUUUGGUGCGGAGUUUUGAAAUUCAUAUUCACACACACACACACACACACACACACACAC